rnacentral:rRNA from 1 species
UACAGAGGGUGCGAGCGUUAAUCGGAUUUACUGGGCGUAAAGGGCGCGUAGGUGGUUGUGAUAGUGUGAUGUGAAAGCCCUGGGCUUAACCUAGGAAGUGCAUCGCAAACUACAUAACUGGAGUAUUGGAGAGGGUAGCGGAAUUUCCGGUGUAGCGGUGAAAUGCGUAGAGAUCGGAAGGAACGUCAAUGGCGAAGGCAGCUACCUGGCCAAAUACUGACACUGAGGCGCGAAAGCGUGGGGAGCAAACAGG